UUUCUGGGACACAAAUGCACGGGAGCCAAAUAACAACAGUCUUUUAAGGACAGUAAGGCAAAAUACAGGAACUGGGACAUUUCUAACAGGUUCUCUACCAGCUUCUGGUACCAGACCCUCAUGUGGAGUGAAGCUACAAAGCCUAUGGAAAUACAUGAGGUGAUUUUAUUCUGCUUAGAAAAAAAGGCAAAGUGAAAGGCAUCUCCUCCCUACCCAAAGGAGCAAGUCAGGGAGUGAAGCCUGUGGGUGAAGAUCAAGACUGAGGGAAAAAGGGAGGUCCCUAGAUGAAUCAUGAGAAUCCCUUUUAAAACACACUCAGCUAUGGACAAGAGCAGAAAACUGCAGCAGCUCCAACUUCCACCCAUUGCCUCUCAAAGCCCAGUGGCACUUCCUGAGAGCUUGGGGCCUUCACUUCCGGAGAACAAACCAGAACUGUUUCCACUGUGAACUUUUCUACUUUAAGAUUAGAAUGAAAAGUAGAUAAUUGCAGAGUUGCCUUUUAACAUUAUCUAUGACCAUGUGCAGUGUCAUUAGUAGCCAAGGUUGCUAAUCUUAUGCAGUAAUUCUGUGCUUCCUUUGAAGAAGCAACCUAGAGCAC
ensembl:lncRNA